AAUCUACUUCAGGGCGGGGCGAAAUUCCCCACCGGUGGUGAUAGCGUUUCGCUUAAGCCCACGAGCGCUUUUUGGUCCUUCACUCCUUGAGCCAAAAAGGUCUAGCAGAUUUGGUUAAAUUCCAAAGCCGACGGUUACAGUCCGGAUGAAAGAAGUAACAA
rnacentral:ncRNA from 2 species